AAGAUUUUGUGACGUCGACUAAAUGGGGUGGCGCUUCGGCGAUUAAAUCUCCCAGCCGUCAUCCUCCCCGACGUUCUCAUCGGAGCUGCCACUAUCUCUCCGCGCUGUCAAUGUUCUCACUGGAGUAGCCACAACCUUGAGAUCGACUCGCCGACGUUCUCCCCGACUCUACAACCACCUCUAGACCGGCACUGCCAGCACCUCGAGGACAGCGCUUACGUUCUCCUGGCGACGUUUUCCCCCCACUCUGCCAUCACCGUGAGACCGGCGCUGCCACCACGUCGAGGCCAACACUGACGUUCUCCCGAGCUGCCACCCUCAUCGACCUGUUCCCUGUCCUCGUCACUACCACCACCUCUUCCCUACGCCGCCACUAAAUUGAGACUGAAGCUGCUACUAUCACUUCUCCCUGACACUACCACUGCUCUCCCCGACGCUACCACUGCUCUCCCCGACAUCCAUCCUGCCUCUCUACGGUGCUGCAUUGAGGAUCGAUCAAUUGUCAUCAAAUGGAGAAGAUAAGUUCGGGGCUCUAUCAGCUCAAGCGUCGGAAUCUGGUGUGGCUAUUAGUGAUGAUGAGCUGUAUCGCCAGGUUGUUGGACCUGAGAGGCAUGGUCGUACUCGGGGUUAUGUGUUAGGUCUAACUCCAAGUACUGUCUUUGGGACUACCCCUGGCCGCAUUGAGCUUGCAUCCCAGCUUCAUGCGGCUAGCACUCAAAACAUUGAGCUAAGAUCAAAGAUAGAUAACUUGGAGAAGAAAAUAGAAGAUGAUAGGAAGAAGAUAGAGGAGAGGAUGGAGGAAAGAAGGAUGAUUGAGGAGAGGAUGGAAGUUGUGAGGGAGAAAAUGGAGGAAAAGAUGGAGGAGGAUCGAAGGAAGAUGGAUAUGCUACUCGUUUUUGUUGAGGAGAUGAACCGGAAAGAAAUGCUUCAGUUGGAAAAUGAAUCGCUUCGUUGAUAGUCGAUAGUGAUUGUUCUACGGUGAUAAUCGUGAACUUAUGCAUUAUUAUGAUGGGAAUUUGAUGUAAGGACGAAGACUUAUCCUAUGAAUCUACUUUUUUUUGGUGAAUUACGAAUCCACUUUAGGGAUAACGUAGACCUCUAUUUUGUUUUUAAGUUGGUGAACUGUAGUUUGCAGUAUUAUUAUUGUUUUAGGUGUAAUGAGAUUCACAUCACAUUGUAAGACUUUUUGGUCGUAAUGUAUGGAUAUGGUUAA